rnacentral:rRNA from 1 species
GACGGAAGGUGCAAGCGUUGCUCGGAAUCACUGGGCGUAAAGGGUGCGUAGGCGGCCGUGCAAGUCUGGCGUGAAAGCCCCGGGCUCAGCCCGGGAAGUGCGCUCGAAACUGCGCGGCUCGAGUGCCGGAGGGGAGAGUGGAAUUCCUGGUGUAGCGGUGAAAUGCGUAGAUAUCAGGAGGAACACCGGUGGCGAAGGCGGGAUCCUGGGCCAGUACUGACGCUGAGGAGCGAAAGCGUGGGGAGCAACAGG